rfam:Arabis alpina cultivar Pajares chromosome 5, whole genome shotgun sequence.
GCCGUCUUAGCUCAGUGGUAGAGCGCGUGACUUUUAAUCCCGUGGUCAAGGUUUCGAUCCCUUAAACGGCG